UGGGGAAUAUUGGACAAUGGGCGAAAGCCUGAUCCAGCCAUGCCGCGUGUGUGAAGAAGGUCUUCGGAUUGUAAAGCACUUUAAGUUGGGAGGAAGGGCAGUAAGCGAAUACCUUGCUGUUUUGACGUUACCGACAGAAUAAGCACCGGCUAACUCUGUGCCAGCAGCCGCGGUAAUACAGAGGGGGCAAGCGUUAAUCGGAAUUACUGGGCGUAAAGCGCGCGUAGGUGGUUCGUUAAGUUGAAUGUGAAAGCCCCGGGCUCAACCUGAGAACUGCAUCCAAAACUGGCGAGCUAGCGUAGGGCAGAGGGUGGUGGAAUUUCCUGUGUAGCGGUGCAAUGCGUAGAUAUAGGAAGGAACACCAGUGGCGAAGGCGACCACCUGGGCUCAUACUGACACUGAGGUGCGAAAGCGUGGGGAGCAAACAGG
rnacentral:rRNA from 1 species